AGCCGAGGCCAAGGUCACAGUCGGCUUUCUCGGCCCGAGGAGAACACCACUGACCAGAACCAGCCAGAAGAAAUCCAGCCAGUGACCAUGCAGCUGAGACAAAUUGGGGACAGUGUCCAUCGCAGGAUGAUUCAAGAGGAAGCCGCGGAUGCCCUGGGUCCUUUUGUGGAGCUGAUGUUCCUGAGAGGUCAGGCUCUGCUGCGAUUUUUCUGGAACAACCAUUUGCUGUGAAGGACAGACAGACAGACAAGCCCCGCCCAUGGGCUGCUUCCCAAGGGGCAGGAGUCCUGCUUCGGUAUCAAGCUCUCUCUCCAGCUCUCCUCCCCCACUGCUGAGGGUCGGCGUCUGUUGAUGUCCAGAGCGGACAGAUGGCGGCCUCGCCGGCCUCCCGCUGAAGCCCGAGAAGUCAGGAGCCUGGGAGGCCUGACCACACAGAGAACAUCACCAGUGACCCCCUGCGAACCUUCCCACAGACCUCUGGGCCUCUCCUUGGGUCAUGCCCUCUGACCCUCUGACCCUGCAAUUGUCACCCGUAUCGAGAGCUUCAGGACCGACCCCCCCUGGCCCCCCUGGGCUGCCCCUCCGAUGUUCCGUGCAAAGCAGGAAGGAUUCGGGUCUCCAGUACUCAGAACUGAGUUCUGGCCCAGACGCGCUCUCCUCCAUGCCAGACCCCAUCACCUGUUCGAAGCCUAUCUCCUGCUCCGACCGGGCCAGGUCUCCUGCUUUCUCAGGUAUAUGGAGCCCCUCUUGCCUCUGAGGUUCCCCCAGGCCUUUCCUGCCCCCAUCCCUCAGCCCUGCCUCCCACAGACAUCUCUCCAGCCCCAUCCCCUCCUGUGUGCCCAGCAAGCCCCCCUUCUAGGGAGCUGGGGGCCGAGGCGGUUAGGGCCGAGGCCCCACCUUACUGCUGUUUCUUGUUGCCCAUGGUCAGCCUGUUGCAUUUGUUUUCCUCAUUCUCUGGUCUCUUUCAUCCUCUUUUGAUCUUUGGAGGUUUAGUCUGUCUCAGGGCCCCUCCCACCCCCUAAAACAAUGUCCAGUCCUAAGAAAGUUCAUUAGUAGUUACAAGUUCUGGGUGUGCACAUUUUGAGUUCUUAGUAGGUGUUACUUUAAAAAAAAAAAAAAGUGAGGGCUGGAGAGACAGCUCAGAGGUUAAGAGCACCCACUGCUCUUCCA